rnacentral:misc_RNA from 1 species
AAGUCGUAACAAGGUAACCGUAGGUGAACCUGCGGUUGGAUCAUUACUGAUAUGACUCGCAAGAGUCUCAACCCAUGUGAACGAUGAAUGUAUCUGGGAGAUGCGUGAUGUGGAGCAAGGUGGCAUUCGUGACAUUUUGUGACACGUGAUUCUCUCCCAACCAAUUAAACACUAUUAUUGUCUGAUCUAAAUAUAAAAGAAACAACUUUUGACAACGGAUCUCUUGGCUCUC